rnacentral:lncRNA from 1 species
ACUUGAAGAGUGAAUUAGCUGUAAAAGUAAUAUAUUUGUUUGUUUCCACCACUAGAGAAGAGAGAACAAAAUAAAGAGAAUUAUUUGUAUGCAAUCUUUUGUUAAUUUUGCCAUCAUUAAACUGGACAAAUAUGAAAAUUCCAGAUUAGAUAGAAACUGAAUGAUAUCUGACUAUUCCUGUGGUUGUAAUAACUGAGACAAGAUUAAGAGAAUGAUAAAGAUCAACAAUUAAAAAAUGUAUUUGUUGCAGUUAAAUAUCCAUAAAAAAUUCCUGUAUGAACACAAAAUUAUGGUUUAUUAUUAUUUAUUCUAUUCAAGCUUAUUUGUCUGAAAAUAUUAUUUCUGUUUUUAAUCUAUCUCAGGCAUUGCUGCCUUUUCUGAGAAUAAAAGAUUAUAUAAGAUAACUAAAAAAUACCAGAAAAAAAUCUUUAAGCUGAAAAUUCAUUGAUACCAUUUCAAGAGAGCAGUAUAAAGUAAAAAGGAAUAAGUUAAAAUGUAAAAGAAAUAUUGGAUAGCCAAGUGGAACACAAAAGGAAUUAUUGAGCUAAAACAGCUAAAUUCCAAUUAUUCCAACUUUUUAAACUUAUAUUUUGCAAGCUUGCAUGAGAUUUCCUCAAAAAAGUCAAAAUAUCAGAAAUAAUAUACAUGGUGUUUCUAAAAGUUUGGCCAGAUUUGAAUUCCAUAUACUACUCAUCAAAACAAAGCAAAAACUCCAUAUGAAUAUGGAUCCAGAAAUAUUUUCUUUUCAAGAUAACACUGUAUAUAAAUUGGAGUUGAUCUGCACUGAUUCCAUAAAAAUUGGAUAAUUACAACAAUUUCCUGGCUUAUAUAAAUAAUUGUACAGAAGAUUUUUUUACAUAAACUGAAUUUUGUAUAAGUUGGAAAAAACUUUUUAACAAAAAUCUGAAUCAAAGACUCCCAGAACUAAGUGAACUACAAUGAUUACUCUCUGUAAAUUAGAAAGGGAGCAAUCACUGUAGCAAAAACUGAAAGAGAGAAACACCACAUAGAACAGCAUGAUAUUAGAGAGUUUGCGGUGAACAUUUUUCACUUCCCGAUACAGUAUAAAUCUCCUGAUACAGAUUAUAACAUAUGUUUUGC